rnacentral:tRNA from 1 species
AUUUAAAUAGUUUAAAAGAAAAUUUUAAUUUGUGGAAUUAAGGAUGUAAGAACUUACUUUAAAUA